rnacentral:lncRNA from 1 species
UUUCUACUGUGUUCUGCCUGUGCUUUUUAUGUGUUUUAGGAAUCUCCCGUGUUUCGUUUGAUUUUGCCCUUAAAGUUUUUGUACGCGCUACGACUUUAUUUUUACAUGCAGUUUAAGAGCAAGAUCCCCAGAGUCCCAGAAGGUUGCCUGCCUAGAAGCUGAUCACCGAACUCUCCAUCACCUUCAAAAGACUGACUCCCUGGCACCCCCUACUGAUCUUCUCUCUUCCUUGUUGAGUGACUGCCUUUACAUUAGCCCUUCAUUACACUACCUGUUUUAAAUAAAGGAUGUUUAUUUACUUUCAAAUUGUCACUUAUUAGUUAUAUAAAGUUAUUUCUCUCAUUCAGGUAAUCAUAUCUUCUUUUUUGAUACUCUCAUUUCCUUCAUUUUUUUAAAGUUUUAUUGAAGUAUAGUUGAUUUACAAAAAUGUGAUUUCUGCCAUACAAUAAAGUGAUUCAGUUAUACAUGUACACACAUCCGUUCCUUCACAGAUUCUUUUCCCACACAGAUGAUCACAGACUCCUGGGUAGAGUUCCCUGUCCUAUACAGCACGUCCCCAUUGGCCAAGUAUUCCAUAUACCACAGUGCGCAUCUACCAAUCCCAAGGUGAUCAUAUUUUCUACAUUUGCAUACUGAUCGGGAGUUCUGGGUGGGUGGAAUGCAUCACAACUUUUUCCAAUUAAAAUUAAUUGAAAAAUAUUUUUAUUUAAUGGCUUUUCACUUAGUGACAAGGUUUUUAGAAACAAAUUAAAAUCAUUAAAUGAGAGGAGUUCCCAUUGUGGCUCAGCAGGUUGAAAAUCUGACUAGUAUCCAUGAGGAUGCAGGUUUGGUCCCUGGCCUCGCUCAGCGGGUUAAGAAUCUGGUGCUGCUGCAAGCUGCGGCAUAGGUCACAGGUAUGGCUCGGAUCCUGCAUUGCUGUGGCUGUGGUGUAGACCGGCAGCUGCAGCUGAUUCGACCCCUAGCCUGGGGACCUCCAAAUGCCACAGGUGAGCCCUAAAAAUUUUUUUUAAAAAAUCAUUAAAUGAGACACAGGUGUUUCCGGUUUCGCUUCUAGUGCUCCUUUUUUGCAAAUAUCCAUUUCCAAUUAAAAUAAUAUCAACAACCUGGUUCUUAUUUGUUGUUUUUUACUGUUUCUGUUUUUUUUUUCUUUUUUUUUAGUGAAAAUUACCCCUUGAUUCUUCUUAACAUUGUUGCUUUUUUUUGUAGGUAGGUAGGUCUCACUUGAAAAACUCCUGCUUACCUGCGCCAGAGGUUCCACCUUUAAAUUGUUUUUCCCUUGCUCGGGGGAUCAAAGUAGCAGGGCAGCAAUAACAGGGCUAACCAUGUCCUUCUGGAUUGUCAGCAGAUUCAAUUUUCUCCCAGCCCAGCCCUCAGCUAGGGUGAGUGACAAGAGAGCCAGGCCAAAACAGGAGCCCAGACUAGGUGGAAUGUUUGAGCUUUUAAUGACUGACAGUGGAAGUCCAGUUGUAUGAAGGGAAGUGGCAGAGAAAGAGAAAGAAAAUUCUGUUGCUGUGGAACAAGGAUGGAGGGUGAGGAAAAGCCUUUGGAAGAGAAUACAUACGGAUGUGCAUGCGAGUGUGCACAUGCACACACACACACACCCCCCACACACCCACCAUACACAAGAAAUCACUAAAGGGAUCCAAGAGAUGGAAAACAAUGUCUCCCAUUCAGUCUCUUCUACCCUAAUUAAGGCGUGGUGCUGACAAAUGUUUGCUAGGGCAGAAUCUUAGUGUCAAGUUCCCACCCAUGCCCCUGAGAUAGUAUGGAAAUUAAUCUUGAUCUCCCUUAUUUCUGGGAUAAAUUUUCAUAGAUUUUUUUCAUCUCAUUGGAUCCCUAAACCAAUUCGCUUGACCACUAAAUCCAUUAAAAAAAAAAAAAAGGUCAGUAUGCUUCUUCAAAUCCCAAAAUGAUUCAUAAUAACUCUAAUGUAUUCAUUUUGCAAAUAACCUUUAUUUUACAUGGAAUCUGACUCUUAUUCAAACAGUUCUGAGAGAAGACAUAUGACAUUCUCUCGAACUUGAUCAGUGUGACAUGAAGGCUGGAUGGGUUUUCUUUUGGAUUCUGACAUGACAGUCACAGAAUAACAAAACCCAAACCGGUGUUAGUAAAGGACAGAUCCUCUCAGAGCUCAUCCUGCCUGGAAAUAACUAUUAAUAGCAAAGAAUUAACCUCUAUAAUGGAGAAGUCUGCACUAUUAGUGGUGGCAUUAAUGUGGUUUAUGCUUGACUAAAAUCUAAUAGAAGAGUUUGUCAAUAACACAGACACGUCAAAAUCACUACAUCACUAAAACAGCUAACGAGAAGAGUCCAUUUUUCCAGCUUUGUAUUGUGAAAACUUUCAAACAUAUAGAAUAAUAACAAGAAUAAAUCUAAUGAGUAAUUGUUAAUUUACCUACCACCUAGAUUCAACAAUUAUUUAUAUUAUAUAUCUAUAAUUAAUAUUAUUUAUAUUACAUUCUUCCAUAUUUGCUUUACCUACAAAUAUGUGGGUAUAUGAAUAUAUAUAUAUAUUUUUUUUUUCUUUUGCUACUGGAUCAUUUGAAAGUAAAUUGAAGACGCCAUAACACUUUACCUGUAAAUCCUUCAGUAUGCCACUUCUAAAAAUAAAGACACUCUCCUGCAUAAACAUAAUUCUACCAUCACACCUAAGAAAACCAACAAUAAUUCCGAUAAUAUCACCUACCAUCCAGUGCAUAUUUAAUUUCCCUAUCUUACCCGGAAUGUCUUUUAAAGCUGUUUGUUGGUUGGUUGGCUUUUUAACAAGGAUGGAAUCAAGGUUCUCACAGUGCAUUUGUUCCUUUAAUCUAUUCCAGAACAGUCCACCCAUCUUUAUGUUCUCCUCGUGACAAUGACUUUUUGAAGAAACUUGGUUUUUGGUAGACUGUUUUACAUCCUAGGUUUGAAUGACUGUUUCCUCAGAGCACUGUUUGUUUCUCUGUUCCCUUUAAUUACUAUAAACUGGAAAUGAGGUCUAAAUCUCAGUUAGGUUCAGAUUAAAUAUUUGGGGCAAGAGUACUUAUAGGAAAUGCUAGAUCUUCAGACUGCAUCACAUGGAGACACUUUUAAGGUUAGGUUGUCCCACCAUUCAUGAUACUGCAUUCGACACACUGAUUAUAAAGGUAGGUCCUCCCUUUGCAACUAGCAAUUAACCUAUGGCCUAUCCUUUGGCACCAUGUGAAUAUAUCAUGCCCCCCAAACCUCUCAUCUAACAGUUUUCUCAUCUUUGUACCAUUCUUCUCUAAAUCAAGACUUUCACUGGAGGCUACAGAAUGGUGAUUUCCUAAUCCCAUCAUUUCUACCUUUAGAUAUAAGUUUUUUGUAUUUUUGUUUUUAUGGAAAGAAGAGCUUUUCUCAACAACCAAGAAUAAAUAUAAUUCUUCCUAAAAAGCUUAUAGUAAACCCUUCAUUUUCGUUGUUUUGUUUUAUUUUCAAUCACUACAUCUUAGAAUAAAUAGUUGAUUAACAACCAAUAUUCCAAUAUUGUCAAAUGACUCCUAGGAUUCAUUGUUUUUAUUCAGUCAAUGUUUUAAACUUAAUUAUAAUAAAUUAGUCUUUUGAUGCUCAAACUGCCACAAAUUUGGGGCAAUGGAAGCUGCACUGAGUUGGCACCUGAGUUCUCUGUCUUGCCCUUGUUAGUCUACUGAGUCUUCUUCAUCUUCCAGCAUUAUCUGUCCAUUGUUCAUAUUGUUGCCUGUCCCAGAUUUGGAAUUAGCCAUUUCUCUGAGCCCUGGUUCCUUUGAGUGAGCAAUGAUAUUUAGAAAACAAAAGUAAUUAUUAGAUGUGCUCAUUGCUACUGGAAUACUACUGUUUCUAAACGGUCUAGUGAAUUAGAAACCACAAAUUCAUAUUGAUGUAUUUCAGUUCAAAUUGAAAUUACAGGAUUUUUCUUAAUGUCUUCAAUUUUAUAUUUAUAUUUGAACACCUUUUUUUAAUAGUUAUUUCCCCAAUACAAUUUUUUUUUCCUACUGUACAGCAUGGUGACCCAGUUACACAUACAUGUAUACAUUCUAUUUUCGCACAAUAUCAUGCUCCAUCAUAAGUGACUAGACAUAGUUCCUAGUGCUACACAGCAAAGGAAAUUUGUUUUUUGUAGCUGUUUUUGAUCACACAUCCAACUAACGAAGAGUCAGAGCAUUCUGCUCAAAAGUCACUUGGGAUACCCUUCCUGUAUGAUUAUAAUUCUGAUAUAGAAUCAGACUCAUUUAUUUCCAUUCGUUUACAUUUGGUGUUUUUUAAUCCUUUGAAUUAAUUUUGUCUUUUGAAUAUGUGAAAUAGUCAUAUGAUCAAAAAUCAAAACUAUAUAAAAAAUUAUACUCAAGGGGUCUGGUAUUCAUUCCUCUCUAGCCAUAAAGGUAGCCAUUUUUAUCAAAACUGACUUCUCCUUUCAGUGUUUCUCACAAAUAAGCAAAGCACACAUAAAUUUUUUUGUCUUUCCCAUUCUUUUCUGCAGCUGUACAGUACUCCAUUGUGUCAUGGUACUAUAAUUUAUUCAACCAGUGUCAUAAUGAUGGUUCCUAUUUUUCAAGCCCAGAAAAAUUGUAGCCUAUGCUAAAAUAGAAAAUAUACACCAAUAUUUAUAAUUUCCCUUUCUGAUGUUAUAACAUCUGUACUAGUAUUAUAUUUUUAUAAAUAGCAGUCUUUUCGGUUAGACUCUAAGUUUCUUAAACAUAAAGAUUUGAUGACACUGUGUAUCAUGACUAUUUACUAUGUUCCAAGCAGUAUCCUAGGUACUCUUUUAUGCAUAUUAUGCUUAUUAACUCAUUUAAUACCCCCAAACAACCCUAGGAGGUGGACACUAUCACUAUCUCCAUACAACAGCUGAGGUGAGGUGUGGUCUGCUCAUGUGACACAGCUUACAGUGGUGGCAGAGUCCAGGGUAAACACCCAUGUAGCCUGGCUCUUGAUCUUAAUCCUGAGAGAGUAUAGAGCUGCAUUAAAUGUCCUCUUUACUCAGAACCCUCCCUGCUCCAAGCACUUGAUAAUAGUCAGUUUUCAAUUAUCUAAAUAGAUUUGGUCAAACUGUAGUUGGAGGAACCUGCAGGCCUUCCCUGAUGCUUACUCUGAGGCCAUUCUCUCUUCUGACUCUUCCAGGUAGAGGUCAGCAAUGAAGGUUAAUCAGCUCAUUACCACCCAUUUCCCAUCCCCAUUUCAGGGAGAAAAGCAGGAUCCCAGUACUUGUUGUUUGCCUUAAUCACACUAUCUCCAACCAUCGACUGCUCAGUAUUAACUGUAGUUCAAUUUUAACAUGAUUAUAACUUAGCGGGGGCUUCCUUCCCACCUACUAAAUGGUCCAGACUUAACUACAGCAGAUAUUGCUGCUGCAAAGAAGCUCAAAGAAAAGCAUCAUUAUAAGUAGAAGCAGGGGCAUAUGGUUACUUUCUGGAAGUAAAAACUUUAAACAUAAAAGAGACAGGAGAAGUCACUUAAAAGUAUUCCCC